rnacentral:tRNA from 1 species
GGAGAGAUGCCCGAGUGGCCGAAGGGGGCGCCCUGCUAAGGCGUUAUACGGGCUUAAACCCGUAUCGAGGGUUCGAAUCCCUCUCUCUCCGCCA